rnacentral:tRNA from 1 species
CAGGGAGACAACAAAAUGUUUAAUAUUAUUAUUUUGUCACCUUAGGUCGAUCGGUACCUCACGUUCUUGAUUCAUUAAGAAUUUCUUUUCCUAAGUUUUUCUAGGUCACACCCAUUAUUUUUCCUGGGCCAUUAGCUCAGGUGGUUAGAGCGCACCCCUGAUAAGGGUGAGGUCCCUGGUUCAAGUCCAGGAUGGCCCAUAUCUCUAUGUUGGGGGUAUAGCUCAGUUGGUAGAGCGCCUGCUUUGCAAGCAGGAUGUCAGCGGUUCGAGUCCGCUUACCUCCACUGAUUACCACCUCUUCCAUAAUCUGUAGAGAGGAAAUUUUUUGAGGUGUGAUCAAAUUCUGAACGAAUCUAGCUUCCUAAUUAAACAAUUAAGAUGCUGGACUCAUUGAAUUAAUUUUCAUUGUUUUCAGAGAACCUUGACAACUGCAUAGAUUAUUUUUAAAGACAAUAAGCAUCUUAAAAUGAUGCAGAUUUAUUAUUUGUGCGAAUGCAUUAAUAACAAUUCUAUUAAGCUGAUGCUUCA